GGGGAUUUAGCUCAGUGGUAGAGCGCUUGCCUAGGAAGCGCAAGGUCCUGGGUUCAAUCCCCAGCUCCG
rnacentral:tRNA from 1 species